rnacentral:misc_RNA from 1 species
ACGAGUUCACUUGGGGAUUGAUGCUGGCCGUCCGCGGCACGUGCUCGUCCCCUCAUCCACUCACAACCCCUGUGCAUUAUGAGAGGCGUCGGUCCCUCCGGCCUCACCGCCGGUGGUCGAGCCGGGACCACGCUUCGAACCCCUUCACACACAAACGUUAACAAGUAUUGUAGAAUGUCAUGACCAGAAACGGUCGAACCUAAAUA